UGAGAACUCAUUUUUACAUUAGUGACAAUAUAUGGUGUAUAAAGCUUUAGCAUGCAAGCAAAAUCAUCUAAUUCAAUUCACUUAUCAAUCUCUGCGCUAAAGUCAGGUUCGGAGGGCCUUCGUGGGUUCAGCAGCCUUGAAUCAUUACUUGCGCUGCGAAGCCUGCGAGCACGAAGAGCAUUGGCUGCAAAGCGAGAUGCAAGUAGUGUUGCACCAAGCCUGGACGAACUG
rnacentral:misc_RNA from 1 species